rnacentral:rRNA from 1 species
UGCCAGCCGCCGCGGUAAUACGUAGGGUGCAAGCGUUAAUCGGAAUUACUGGGCGUAAAGCGUGCGCAGGCGGUUAUGAAAGACAGAUGUGAAAUCCCUGGGCUCAACCUAGGAAUUGCAUUUGUGACUACAUAACUGGAGUGUGUCAGAGGGAGGUAGAAUUCCACGUGUAGCAGUGAAAUGCGUAGAUAUGUGGAGGAAUACCGAUGGCGAAGGCAGCCUCCUGGGAUAACACUGACGCUCAUGCACGAAGGCGUGGGGAGCAAACAGGAUUAGAUA